GUAUUGUUGAAGAGUCCCACAAUAGGACGAAACGGUCGUCUAAUGC
rnacentral:hammerhead_ribozyme from 1 species